rnacentral:lncRNA from 1 species
CCCGCGGAGGCAGGUAGAAGAUUCUGAGGCCCUGGGCGGGAACUAGUAAGCCACAAUCUGGAAGAGUCUUUUAUCACCAUGUGGAGGAGAACUAGAGCACUCAUGUUGAACUAUUACCGAGAAAAGUAAUCAACUUCUUUUGUGUUAAGUCACUGAAAGGUGGUGAUAACUUCUGGAAACACCAGGGACUAAAAAGGAAGGAAACUGCAGAAAGUGGAGGGCCACAGAAGCAGCAGCUCGCAGUCAUGUUCCAAGACUAGCAAUCCAUAAACAUUGCUUGCCCUGGGGGGAAAAUAAAGAUUUCGCCAAUACUGCAUCUCUUCGAUUUUUACCCAUUUCCUUUACUUGGUCCUAUUUUUACUUGGUCAAAGAAACACGUGUAUCAUAUACUCAGAAUUUCCCCUUAAUUAUAAGUUUUUUUAAAAAAGUCAAUAAAAGACAAAAUGGGAAGUGUUGAAGCACUGUCCAGAAACUAUAGUAAUAGCAGUAUAAAAAGAAGGGUAGUGAACUGACCUUAGCAAAUUUGCUCUGCCACUAAUUUGCUAGUCAAGUGACCCUAUUUUCCUGACUCUGUUUCUUUAGUAAAAUGUGGAUGUUAUCAUAGGUGACCGCAGAUCCUGAAGUUCCUUUGUGUGUGUGUGUGGGGGGGGGGUGAGAUUUAAAAAUUUGAUUCAAAUAAAUUUCCAUUCGCU